rnacentral:lncRNA from 1 species
UAAUAUCAGAACAUCAGACAUGUUAAUAUGUGUUGUAGUGGUUUAAUAAUAUCAGAACAUCGGACAUGUUAAUAUGUGUUGUAGUGGUUUAAUAAUAUCAGAACAUCAGACAUGUUAAUAUGUGUUGUAGUGGUUUAAUAAUAUCAGAAUAUCAGACAUGUUAAUAUGUGGAUGGGCAUUACUCUGGAUCAGAAGGUUGGGUUUUGGUUGGGGAGGUGGAUGGGCAUUACUCUGGAUCAGAAGGUUGGGUUUUGGUUGGGGAGGUGGAUGGGCAUUACUCUGGAUCAGAAGGUUGGGUUUUGGUUGGGGAGGUGGAUGGGCAUUACUCUGGAUCAGAAGGUUGGGUUUUGGUUGGGGAGGUUGAUGGGCAUUACUCUGGAUCAGAAGGUUGGGUUUUGGUUGGGGAGGUGGAUGGGCAUUACUCUGGAUCAGAAGGUUGGGUUUUGGUUGGGGAGGUGGAUGGGCAUUACUCUGGAUCAGAAGGUUGGGUUUUGGUUGGGGAGGUGGGAUGGGCAUUACUCUGGAUCAGAAGGUUGGGUUUUGGUUGGGGAGGUUGAUGGGCAUUACUCUGGAUCAGAAGGUUGGGUUUUGGUUGGGGAGGUUGAUGGGCAUUACUCUGGAUCAGAAGGUUGGGUUUUGGUUGGGGAGGUGGAUGGGCAUUACUCUGGAUCAGAAGGUUGGGUGUCUGAUCCCAGUAUUUUUUAAUUUAUACUGAACAAAAAUAUAACGCAACAUGCAACAAUAUCAAAGAUUUUACUGAGUUACAGUUCAUAGAAGGAAAUCCAUCAGUUGAAAUAAAUAAAUGAGGUCCUAAUCUAUGGAUUUCACAUGACUGGGCAGGGGCUCAGCAAUGAGUGGCCCCUGGGAGGGCAUAGGCCCACCCACUUGGGAGCCGGGUCUACCCACUGGGGAGGCAUUCCCAGCCAAUCAGAAUUAUUUUUCCCCCACAAAAGGGUUUUAUUACACACAGAAAUACUCCUGUGCACCCCUCCC